rnacentral:rRNA from 1 species
ACGGAGGGUGCAAACGUUGCUCGGAAUCAUUGGGCGUAAAGCGCACGUAGGCGGCGAAGCAAGUUGGGUGUGAAAGCCCUGGGCUCAACCCAGGAAGUGCAUUCAAAACUGCUUCGCUUGAAUCUCGGAGGGGGUCAGAGAAUUCCCGGUGUAGAGGUGAAAUUCGUAGAUAUCGGGAGGAAUACCAGUGGCGAAGGCGCUGACCUGGACGAAGAUUGACGCUGAGGUGCGAAAGCGCGGGGAGCAAACAGGAUUAGAUACCCUGGUAGUCCGCGCUGUAAACGAUGAGUGCUAGACGGUGGAGGUAUUGACCCCUUCGCUGCCGAAGCUAACGCGUUAAGCACUCCGCCUGGGGAGUACGGUCGCAAGACUA